GGUCUUGGAUUUCGGUCCGGCACAAACGUGUUGUGUACCAGGAAUCUGAGACCAUCCUCGAGGAAAACAUAUCUGUCAUUAAUUUAAUGGGUAUGGGAUCCUCGUCAUUUACUGUGAGCAAAAUAGGGUGUUCAAAGCAGGCUUAUGCCGUUGAAUACAUUAGCAUGGAAUAAUAAGAUAGGACCUUGGUCUAUUUUGUUGGUUUGUACUCCAAGGUA
rnacentral:rRNA from 1 species